GACGAACGCUGGCGGCGUGCUUAAUACAUGCAAGUCGAGCGAGGUUACUGUCUUGGAUCCCUUCGGGGUGAAGAAGCUUUAACCUAGCGGCGGACGGGUGAGUAACGCGUGGGUAACCUACCCCAAAGUCCGGGAUAACAGCGGGAAACCGCUGCUAAUACCGGAUGCCUUUACCUUGGGGCAUCUUGAGGUAAAGAAAGGCAACGCUUUGGGAUGGGCCCGCGUCCCAUUAGCUAGUUGGUGAGGUAACGGCUCACCAAGGCGACGAUGGGUAGCCGGCCUGAGAGGGUGGACGGCCACACUGGGACUGAGACACGGCCCAGACUCCUACGGGAGGCAGCAGUAGGGAAUAUUGCGCAAUGGACGGAAGUCUGACGCAGCGACGCCGCGUGAGCGAUGAAGGUCUUCGGAUCGUAAAAGCUCUGUCCUUGGGGAAGAAGGUCUUCGGACUUGACGGUACCCAAGAAGAAAGCCCCGGCUAACUACGUG
rnacentral:rRNA from 1 species